UACGUAGGGUGCGAGCGUUAAUCGGAAUUACUGGGCGUAAAGCGUGCGCAGGCGGUUCGUUAAGUCGGAUGUGAAAGCCCUCGGCUCAACUGAGGAAGUGCACCCGAAACUGGCGAGCUUGAGUACGAAAGAGGAUCGCGGAAUUCCCGGUGUAGAGGUGAAAUUCGUAGAUAUCGGGAGGAACACCGGUGGCGAAGGCGGCGAUCUGGGUCGAUACUGACGCUGAGGUGCGAAAGCGUGGGGAGCAAACAGG
rnacentral:rRNA from 1 species